rnacentral:rRNA from 1 species
GACGUAGGGGACGAGCGUUGUCCGGAUUCAUUGGGCGUAAAGCGCGCGUAGGCGGUUUGGUAAGUCGGAUGUGAAAACACGAGGCUCAACCUCGUGCGUGCAUCCGAUACUGCCCGACUAGAGGUAGGUAGGGGAGAUCGGAAUUCCUGGUGUAGCGGUGAAAUGCGCAGAUAUCAGGAGGAACACCGGUGGCGAAGGCGGAUCUCUGGGCCAUUACUGACGCUGAGGAGCGAAAGCGUGGGGAGCGAACAGG